GCCUUCGCCGGGGCCCCGCCCCUCCCCUCUCCGCCGGCGCCUCGGGCGGCUUCUCGCCGCUCCCAGGUCUGGCUGGCCGGAGGAGUCUCAGCUCUCAGCCGCUCGCCCGCCCCCGCUCCGGGCCCUCCCCUAGUCGCCGCUGUGGGGCAGCGCCUGGCGGGCGGCCCGCGGGCGGGUCGCCUCCCCUCCUGUAGCCCACACCCUUCUUAAAGCGGCGGCGGGAAGAUGAGGCUUCGGGAGCCGCUCCUGAGCGGCAGCGCCGCGAUGCCCGGCGCGUCCCUACAGCGGGCCUGCCGCCUGCUCGUGGCCGUCUGCGCUCUGCACCUUGGCGUCACCCUCGUUUACUACCUGGCUGGCCGCGACCUGAGCCGCCUGCCCCAGCUGGUCGGAGUCUCCACAGCGCUGCAGGGCGGCUCGAACGGUGCCGCCGCCAACGGGCAGUCCUCCGGGGAGCUCCGGACCGGAGGGGCCCGGCCGCCGCCUCCUCUAGGCGCCUCCUCCCAGCCGCGCCCGGGUGGCGACUCCAGCCCAGUCGUGGAUUCUGGCCCUGGCCCCGCUAGCAACUUGACCUCGGUCCCAGUGCCCCACACCACCGCACUGUCGCUGCCCGCCUGCCCUGAGGAGUCCCCGCUGCUUGUGGGCCCCAUGCUGAUUGAGUUUAACAUGCCUGUGGACCUGGAGCUCGUGGCAAAGCAGAACCCAAAUGUGAAGAUGGGCGGCCGCUACGCCCCCAGGGACUGCGUCUCUCCUCACAAGGUGGCCAUCAUCAUUCCAUUCCGCAACCGGCAGGAGCACCUCAAGUACUGGCUAUAUUAUUUGCACCCAGUCCUGCAGCGCCAGCAGCUGGACUAUGGCAUCUAUGUUAUCAACCAGGUGAGGCCUGGGAAGGUGGAAUGAGAGAGGGUGUGUGUGCGUGCAGAUGUGUAUCAGAUGUGUGUGUAAUGAGGGCAGGGGAAGGGGAGUGAUUUCACAGACACCUGGCACUUACAGCGAGGAACCAGCCCCCCAGCCACCACCAGUGCAGAUGAGGUAAACGCCAAACAGUGUGCUUGCCUGUUGCUGUCAACUCUAUAGCCAAGGGAAAUGCUGGAGUGUUUUCGUUGUUCUGUUUUUGUUUUCUGGAAGUAGCCUUCCAGCAAGAUUGGGAAAAAAGACAACCCUAAUUAUUCCAAAGUACACACUGAUUAUUCCCUGGCUUUGUGUAGCUGUGUAUUUUCCUUUUAAAAAUAAAACCACCAUUUAGAUGUCAGACUUUUAGGUAACUAAAAGUUUAUCCAGUCAGUCAGAGUGUGUCUCCUGGGGCACCUGGAGACAGUGCCCUUAGUUCAGGCCACAUGCCUACAUGCCAGUCCCUGGUGAAAUAUCUGGAGAAGUCUGAUUCGUGGGCCAUCUGAGAGUUAUGUGGACUGGGCCGAGUCUGAGAAAAAGUUUCUCACUGCUCGUCUGAUCCAUAUGUGUUGGGCUUUAGCCCUGCUUAGGAAAGUAAUGCUAAGGAUAGGUCAACUUUCAUCACCAUGGCAUGGAGAAUCAGAUUGAUCUAAGAGGCAUCUUUAUUGAAAUAAAUUUUUCAGUUUAUUUGAGGAGCAUUAUUUUCCCAAGAGUAUAACUUUGAUAUUUCAAGAUUACCCCUAACACUUAAAUUCAUGUUUUUAGACUAUAACCUCCUAGGUGCAAUGACACAUCUAACUUAUCUAAGCACCCAGUUUCAUUGAAAUUCAUUUGAAGAGUCUGAGUACGCCCAUUUCUACAAGGCCCAAUGUCCAUUUCAUUUCGAGAUAAACUCUGCUUUAGGUAGGAGGAUUGUUGGCAGUUUACGGCUUCCAUCAAGGUCAAGGAACUCUGUGCACCUUCCCUAUGACCCCAGGGGAAGCACUCGAGGACUGCUGUGGCAUUGUGCUGCAUCACUUGCUGCAGGGAGAUUCUGAAGAAGUGUAAGGUCUCAGUCCUGCCCUGUCCCGAAGCCUCCAACCCACUUCUGGCAAGUGGGACCUUCCCAGGGAACAAUUUGUUAACAGACUCAAAUAUCCUGUGAUUGGAUGGUGGCUGCCAAAUGCUUUGGAAGCUCAGAGGAAGGAGAGAGAGCAAUGGCUUGGAAGAACCAGGAUAUAAACUAGGUUCUAAAGUCUGCAGGGAGAUGGGCUUCUCAGCUGGGGCCAGUGAGCAGGGACCUCAAGGCAGAAAGGAGCCUUGCAUGUUCCUGGAAAUUGAGAUGCCCACUGGGGUAGGAAAGCACCAGAAGCUCUGGGGCCAGGUGUCAGAGUUAAGCCUGUGAGGCAGGAGAGAGCAGAACAAGCCCUGUUACAAGGAAACUGAAGCAGGAGAGCAGGUGGUGGGCAAACCCCUUGAGGCUGUUUGAAUUCUUUGGCCAAGUGAGGUACAGACCAGGGCCCUAUGAACACCUGCAAGCAAGACAGCCACGCAGUUGUGGGUCACCUUGGAAGAAUAUUGGAGAAUGCAAGAGAGAACAGGUAAAUGUCCUGCAAAGUGCAGGUCACUUUAACCCAACACAUAUUCAUUUAAGAAAAGCUCUGUGAUCGAGAAACAUUUGUCUGAUGCCAGUUAGCACAUACCAAUGACGGCAAGAUUCAGGAGCCUGUUAUUAAAGCAGUGGCAGCGAGCACCUGGAAGAGGUGGCCACCAUCACCAGGAGCCAGCAGGGAUGACUAAUAACAAGCCGUGCCAGCUGCAUCUCGUUUCUCUCUUGACAGUUGCUAUGCCAGUAGGUGAGGGAUGUACUGUGGAUACAAUGCUGUCAUAUCUUAUUCAGCAGGGCAUCUGAUAGCAUCCCACAAAUCUGCCUGAGUAGAAGACACACAGCUGUGGUCUGGGUGCCAUAUAGGUAGGUUAAAAUAUAUAUUUGGGCCUAGGCGCAGUGGCUCAUGCCUGUAAUCCCAGCACUUUGGGAGGCCAAGGCAGGCGGAUCACUUGAAGUCAGGAGUUCAAGACCAGCCUGGCCAACAUGGCGAAACCCCGUCUCUACUAAAAAUACAAAAAUUAGCUGGACAUAGUGGUGGGCGGCUGUAAUCCCAGCUACUCGGGAGGCUGAGGCAGGAGAAUCUCUUGAACCCAGGAGGCAGAGGUUGCAGUGAGCCGAGAUCAUGCCACUGCACUCCAGCCUGGGCAACAGAGUGAGACUCUGUCUCAAAAAAAUAAAAUAAAUAAAUAAAUAAAAUAUAUACUUGGGUAAAGAGGAUAAAAGAGUUAGCGAUGAUGCUGAAUUUUUGAACUGAGGUGGCUGUUUUCAAGGAAGACUGGAGGGUGGGAUGCUACGUCUAGAUAUGUUGCAGUUUAGGUGAAUGUGAGACUUCCCUGUUUUGAAGUCAAAUAUUGGACCAGUAAAAUCUAGCCAUCAGCUUAAAUUCCUAUGAUACAAUUUACAUACUCCCCAGGCUCAACACAGUAGAUUUCUGAAUGUCCUCUGCCAGCUACAUGCUCCUGCCCACCUCAAUCCGAGUAGACGGAACAACUAACCAAGCCAGCUCAGACCGGUGGCACAGCUGUGCUGGCUAACACUGCGCACCACCUAAGAGAGUGCUCCUCCAAAAGUGUGCUUCCCCAAAUGGAGCCAAAUACGCUUGAGGAAUGUUGGGUUGAACCAUGUAAAGCAGUUCUCAUUCCCGCAGAGCCUUUGGUACCCCGGUGUACACUGUAACCCCAGAAGUGUUUCCUGAGCUUGCCUGACGAGAGAACUUUUCCAAGAACCGUCUCAAGUGAUGAGUGUUUUGAUGAUGGGGUGGCAGUUCCAGGCUGGUUGAGGAUGGAUUUGGAGACAGUCCUUUGUACCCUCAGUGAGCAAGAGUAUCUGUCACCCUACCUCAGCAGUUGUCUCUGUCACUGGUCCAAGCAGCUGGUUCCUACACAAGGUCAAGAUCAACUGGGGAGAAGCAGACUCCUGGGUCUAUCCCAUUAGUGAGGACAGCUGCCUGGGCUUAUGGCCCCAUUGGUUUGGUUUCUAUCUUGAUCAUCUCUACCAUCCCCCCAUCCCGGCCUUCCAUUUUCUACCUCAGCUGUCAGUGCACAGAUUGAUGUGUGUGGGAACGGAGCUUGGGAGGAAUGGGGUAGGGCUGGUCCUGUCCUGUAGCCUCCCCUUCCUUCGGGCACUUGGACCCUUUGGAGCUUGCCGAGGUGGGGAGUGGGAGUGGGAAGGCCAGGGAGUGUCUCUGCGCCAUCACUGUUUGAGUGUUGCCCCUUUGCUGUGUGCCCCACCUAGUCUGUGUGUGUCUCUAUUCUCUGGGGACUCAAUUUGCUGGUGAAUUGCUUCCAUGGACAUUGUUCUGGGAAACGCCAUUUUUUCUGCUCACCCAUGACUCUGUGACAAGGAAUGACAGCUUAUUAGGAAUUUGUUUUUGCAUUGGAACAGUGGUCAUCAGAAUGGGCCCCUUUUCCCUUGCAGCUUUGACAUUUGCCUCUCUUUUCCUCACCUCUCUCCCUUGCAUCCACCCUUUUCUCUUUUUCUUCUUUUUUGUUUUCCUUCUAGCAGGGGCCUUUUGCCUUUACUUGUUAAUCCUGUUUGUAGCAAAGCAAGUGGAAGGAGGAGUUCCUCUCUGAUCUGCUUCUUAUUCUCCACCUACCUUCUCUUCUGUACUUUCCGCCUCCUAGAGAGAGAGAGAGAGAGGAAUGCCGACCUAACUACCGCUGCCACUGCUGCUGCCACCACCGCUGCCACCACCACCCUGGUAAUGUUCACAUGUCCUCAAAUCAACCCAGAGCCAGGGCCCUGCUGGUCAGGGGGAGGCUAUGUAAAUAAUCCCAUGAGUGUGCCAUCCUCAGGCCCUGGGGUCUCCUAGGCAAGACCAGGGCCUCUGUGGGCUCUCUCGGAAAUGCUGAGGUUGCUGGAAGCCAGCCCGUCAUACAGGGUCUGAGAGUUUAACUUCUUUUAAAUUAAACCACAGUUGAGCUCAUGCUGUGUGUGUAUAAACUUUUGUAUCCUGCUUUUUCCUUAAAUUCUUUAUCAUCAGCAUCUUCCCAUGUUAUUUCAUAGUCUUCAUCAUUGUCACUUUCCAUACCUUCAUAGUAGUUGAUCGUAGAAUUCCAUCAUAAUUAACUUGUCUUUUCUCUCUUAGAAGUCCUUUAGGUAAUGUCCAAUUUUCCGUAAGUAAUACCAUAAUGGACAUCUUGGAGUCUGAAGUUUAUUCUGUGUUGGUUUGUUCCACAUUUAGGAUCAUUUUCCCAGGCUAGAUUUUCAGAUGUGGGAUUAUGGGUUCAGAUAUGGUUUAGACAUUUUUAUAGUUCUUAAUACAGAUGGCCAAAUUGCUUUCUGAAGGAGAAGCUUUUCUUAAGUAUUUUUCUCCAACUUGUAUCUUAAACAUCCUGAACAUGCUUAGCACCACUGUCUUGAUAUAUCUGCGGAAAGCCACAUCUCCACUUUUCAGUGUGUCGGGCCCUGGGAGAGGCAGGCAUCCUGCGCUGGCUCCUUGGAGCUGGGUUUAAAAUUGUCUCCUCUGGCUGGGCGUGGUGGCUCACACCUGUAAUCCCAGUACUUUGGGAGGCCGAGGUGGGCGGAUCACUAGGUCAGGAGAUCGAGACCAUCCUGGCUAACACAGUGAAACCCCAUCUCUACUAAAAAUACCAAAAAAAAUUAGCCGGGUGUGGUGGCGGGCGCCUGUAAUCCCAGCUACUCGGGAGGCUGAGGCAGGAGAAUGAUAUGAACCCGGGAGGCGGAGCUUGCAGUGAGCCGAGAUCGCGCCACUGCACUCCAGCCUGGGUGACAGAGUGAGACUCCAUUUU